rnacentral:siRNA from 1 species
UUAUGAUUCGUGGUAGGUAUCCU